rnacentral:rRNA from 1 species
GACGUAGGGUGCGAGCGUUGUCCGGAUUUAUUGGGCGUAAAGAGCUCGUAGGCGGCUCGUCGCGUCGACCGUGAAAACCCGCAGCUUAACUGCGGGCUUGCGGUUGAUACGGGCGGGCUAGAGUUCGGUAGGGGAGACUGGAAUUCCUGGUGUAGCGGUGAAAUGCGCAGAUAUCAGGAGGAACACCGGUGGCGAAGGCGGGUCUCUGGGCCGAUACUGACGCUGUGGAGCGAAAGCGUGGGGAGCGAACAGG